rnacentral:lncRNA from 1 species
UCCAUUAAAAAAACCCAAAACCCAAUAGCCCAACUGAUGACCCAAUACCCAAUCAGCCUACACUACCCAGUACCCGAUUACACUCAAACCCAAGUGCCCAAGUGCUACCCAAAAUACAUAGGGCCCAAGUGGCGCACUUUGUUAACAGGAGACAGAAAGGCCUAGGGUUUCAAAAACCCUAGGCGCCGUAAGCACCCCAACAGACACGUCCGUUCGUCUCGCAGUGACCCACCAUUACUGUCGUGAUUCCAGGCUCCGUAUCACGCCAUGAUCGACGCCUGAAUCAACGCCAGUGUGCCAUCAUCAGUGCCCGUUUAUUACUAGCCUCCUCGCUGGUACCAGCAAAAGGAGAAGAAACCACAGCAACCAAAGAAACAAACAGGGAAAGAAAUCAAAGGAUUCUUUCCUAAAAUGUAACAGAGGGUUAUAAAAACCCUUUUUUUGAUCUUUUGUAAUACUACAGUUUUUUUUUUGAAUAUACACACAGAUUCAAUAAAAAAACACAGAUUUUACAGAUAUAAACAGAUAUACACAUAUACACAAGGGAGACGAACAGUUUCAUUGUGGAAAAGGUGAUUCAGUUUCAUUUUUUAUUUACUUCUUGUUGUUCUACAUGUAUGAAUUGUUUCUUUUUUUAAAAACAUCAAUAUUUAAAAGAGGGAAGAGGUUACCUGUGUUUCGCCUGGAAAGACGAAGGUUUUUAACCUUCUAACCACUGCAUACGGUGCGUGGGUGUGCUGCUCAGCAAUUGGAGACCGGAGCUCAGACUGCCCUUUCCUCUCUCAUUUAAGAGAGUUUCAAAGUUUUUUUUUUAAAAAACAGUUUCUAAAAUGAAUUUUGGCCCAAAAAACUGACUUAAAUAGCAUAAUAGAAACAGUGUCGUUUUUUAUUAAUCUGAUAAGUACCAAAACGGCACCGUUUAAACCCAGGAUCCGCGUGUUGACCCGAGAACCGUAUGAGAUCCGCGUGUUUUUGUUUAAAUGGGUAAUUGCUCAAUUAGUCCUUCCGCAUUUUUAAUCUUUACAAUUUUAUUUUGUUUUUAUUUUAAAUUGACCCCAAUCUUAUACGAUUAAUUCAAUCUAGUCCUAAUGGCUAUUAAAGCCUAUUCUGGGAACGACGUUGUUUUAUGGGAUUAGGGCAAAUUGCCCAGUGAGUCCCUUGUAGUUUUGAAUGCGUUCCAAUUAGGCCUAAUUUUUUUUUAUUUUAAAAUUAGCCCUAGAACCCUAGUUUUAUUUAAUUUUAAUCCUUUUAAAUAUUUUUGCAUAAUUUAUUUAUUAAAUACCUUUUAUAUUAUUUAUUUU